rnacentral:rRNA from 1 species
UACGAAAUUUUAUCGUAGCGAACGGGUGAGGAAUGCGCAACUUUUUAUGUUUUUGUAUUUGAUAAAUUUUUUGACAAUAUAAUGACUCAAACUUUGACGUAAUGACGAAGCCGAUAACUCGGUACCAGACGGCAAAGUUUAAAAUAAAAAAUCUACCUUUUAACUCAAAAUAAACUAUACCUAUAAAAAUUUUUGAUUUUUAUAGAUCAAACGUACAGAGUAUGUUAUAGUAAUAUUGAAUAAUAGAUUUACGUCAAAAAGCUUUAUAUAUUGAAAUUUUGAUUACUUAUAAAGCGUUAAAAGAUGAGUUUGCGUAAGAUUAGGUUGUUGGUGGAAAUAAUAGUUUACCAAGCCUUUGAUCUUUAGUUGGUCUUAGAGGACGUACAACCACACUGGAACUGAGACAAGGUCCAGGCUAUUUUUGGCCAGCAGUGAGGAAUAUUGGACAAUGAACGGAAGUUUGAUCCAGCAAUAUUAUGUGAAUGAUUGACGGCUAAUUUUUGGUUGUAAAGUUCUUUCGUUAAAAAUGAUAAUGACGUUAAUUAAAGAAGUUUUAG